rnacentral:tRNA from 1 species
GUGAUUGUGGCUCAGUGGUAGAGUGCUCGCCGACUAGCAAAUGUGAGGCCCUGGGUUCCAUUCUCAGCACCACA